AGUGAACGCUGGCGGUAGGCCUAACACAUGCAAGUCGAACGGCAGCACAGUAAGAGCUUGCUCUUACGGGUGGCGAGUGGCGGACGGGUGAGGAAUACAUCGGAUUCUACUUUUUCGUGGGGGAUAACGUAGGGAAACUUACGCUAAUACCGCAUACGACCUACGGGUGAAAGCAGGGGAGCUUCGGACCUUGCGCGAUUGAAUGAGCCGAUGUCGGAUUAGCUAGUUGGCGGGGUAAAGGCCCACCAAGGCGACGAUCCGUAGCUGGUCUGAGAGGAUGAUCAGCCACACUGGAACUGAGACACGGUCCAGACUCCUACGGGAGGCAGCAGUGGGGAAUAUUGGACAAUGGGCGCAAGCCUGAUCCAGCCAUACCGCGUGGGUGAAGAAGGCCUUCGGGUUGUAAAGCCCUUUUGUUGGGAAAGAAAAGCAGCAGGUUAAUACCCCGCUGUUCUGACGGUACCCAAAGAAUAAGCACCGGCUAACUUCGUG
rnacentral:rRNA from 1 species